rnacentral:rRNA from 1 species
AACGUAGGAGACAAACGUUAUCCGGAGUUACUGGGCGUAAAGGGCGUGUAGGUGGUUGCGUAAGUCUGGCGUGAAAUUUUUCGGCUUAACCGGGAAAGGUCGUCGGAUACUGCGUAGCUAGAGGACGGUAGAGGCGUGUGGAAUUCCGGGUGUAGUGGUGAAAUGCGUAGAGAUCCGGAGGAACACCGGUGGCGAAGGCGGGUCUCUGGGCAGUAACUGACGCUGAGGAGCGAAAGCGUGGGGAGCGAACAGG